rnacentral:rRNA from 2 species
GUGGAUUAGUGGCGAACGGGUGAGUAACACGUGAGUAACCUGCCCUUAACUCUGGGAUAAGCCUGGGAAACUGGGUCUAAUACCGGAUAGGAGCGUCCACCGCAUGGUGGGUGUUGGAAAGAUUUAUCGGUUUUGGAUGGACUCGCGGCCUAUCAGCUUGUUGGUGAGGUAAUGGCUCACCAAGGCGACGACGGGUAGCCGGCCUGAGAGGGUGACCGGCCACACUGGGACUGAGACACGGCCCAGACUCCUACGGGAGGCAGCAGUGGGGAAUAUUGCACAAUGGGCGAAAGCCUGAUGCAGCGACGCCGCGUGAGGGAUGACGGCCUUCGGGUUGUAAACCUCUUUCAGUAGGGAAGAAGCGAAAGUGACGGUACCUGCAGAAGAAGCACCGGCUAACUACGUGCCAGCAGCCGCGGUAAUACGUAGGGUGCGAGCGUUAUCCGGAAUUAUUGGGCGUAAAGAGCUCGUAGGCGGUUUGUCGCGUCUGUCGUGAAAGUCCGGGGCUUAACCCCGGAUCUGCGGUGGGUACGGGCAGACUAGAGUGCAGUAGGGGAGACUGGAAUUCCUGGUGUAGCGGUGGAAUGCGCAGAUAUCAGGAGGAACACCGAUGGCGAAGGCAGGUCUCUGGGCUGUAACUGACGCUGAGGAGCGAAAGCAUGGGGAGCGAACAGGAUUAGAUACCCUGGUAGUCCAUGCCGUAAACGUUGGGCACUAGGUGUGGGGACCAUUCCACGGUUUCCGCGCCGCAGCUAACGCAUUAAGUGCCCCGCCUGGG